UCUUCUGAGUCACAUGUUCCUCCACUGUCUCUCAGUGGGCUCAGAUGCUCCUUCCUUGUGUACCACCUGCACUGCUGUUCCCAUGUUGUCUUGGGGUGCUGGUUACAUCACUGCCAUGGGUGCUGGGUUCAUGAGUGUUGCUGUGCUGUCAGGUGCCUGGGCACCAGGGGACUUGUAUGGAACCCCCACUGCUGGUGGAGCUGGUGUCAAGGAUGCUGCCACUGGAUCUUCAUCACUGGUUCUACUGUGGUUCCUGAUGCCUCAGGCUGCAGGUUCUAGCUGCAACUGCUAAGGGGGAGCAGGAGCUGUUUUUUCUGCUCUGGCCCCAUCUGCUGGUGGUUGUGUGGUGUGGGGCACUGCUGCUGAACCACUGAUCCAUGGGCAGUCUUGUGAUCUGGGCCACUGCUCUUGCCGCUCCGUGGGCAGUUGUGCAGGCUGGGCUGCCCUUGCCUCGCCUCGCAGUCAGGUCAUCAAAGUCUGAAGAAGAGUCUGGCAAUUGCUUCCCAAUAGGCUCCUGGUUCUGUUUGUCUUGUUGGACUCAUCGGAGAAAAUGAGACACCAGCACGUGAAGUGUGUUGAAGUAUUCUAUUUGACAAGCCAGACUGGGCACUUUCCCAUAUAUACAGAUGGAACCAUGUCUGAGGCCAACACUAUCCUGAGAAAUCACUUUGCCCCAAAGUGAUGCAAGAUGACCAUUUGGAAAGGCCUCCUGGAAAAGGCGGUGGAAAGGAGAGGAAACACCGGUUUUGGAGCUCUGUUCCCAUUCCUGUGGUUUAUGCUGGCCUGGGCCCUUAGAUUUAAUUCUCUUAGAACUUUUUAUGAGUUAGUAAAUAUGGGUUUUAUCACCCAUUCUGGGGUGGUUUCACAGGGGAGAAAGGGUGGGUCUAUACGACCUUGGCUACCCCUAGACUCUAGUUAGUCUGAGACUCUUCCAGGGUAACUUGUAGGUUGAAGUCAGUUUUUAAUACCCUCCUUCAAAGACAAAGCCAGAACCCUAGGAAGUUUCAACUCUAUUACAAUGUACUUGACUUGAAACUGUCACUAAACGCUGAUAGUCAUAAAAUGCAGAGCAAGCCAGUGAGCGAGCAAGCAUGCAGGAGUGAGCAAGCCACAUCUGUUGAACGGUGAACCCCAAGAGUUCACUUACCCCAAUUCCCUCCACAAAAGGUAACCAUGGAAACCUCAUAAUCCAGAGCAUCAUCUGUCUCCAAGCAAAAUACACACACACACACACACAAGCAUGCCCUAGGAGGGCAGUGUGUGUGUGUGAGUAUGUGUGCAUGUGCUCAUGUUUCACUUCUGUGGAUGUGGGGUGUGUCUGUGUGAUGCUUCGACAGUUUGUGUGUGUGUACAUCAAAUGGAAUCAGCAUGGGCGUUCGCUGCCACAUGCUUUCCGGUUCUGCUCUCAGGGGUGGUGAAAGAGCGUAGGUUUGUCCUAAUGUUUGGGUGCUGUGCUCGGAGCUGGUUAGAGCAUGUGGGCGAGGACGUGCAUUUUCAAUUUUGUGGAGGGCAAUGUGGUGGCAUGGUGUGGGCAUACAGGAAGCUUUGUAACUUAUUUUUUUCCCCUAUCAGAUUUCUAUUGCACGAAAGUGUCCGGGAGUUGGGUUGUCACCAGCUGGGCAGUAUCAUUCCCCUGGGAUGGGAGAACUCAGCGUGGAUCCAUAUUGAGCUUCUCAAAUGAUCUAGUGUGGAUGCAAAUUCAGCAGUUGCUUCCUGGAUGACAGAAAUCCACACUGGCAUCUCCCAGCAGGGGCCUGAACCACUGCCCACAUCCUCCCUGACUCCUCCGCUGAUGGCCCCUCUGCCUCUGGCAGCACCACCUCAGCCUCCAUCUGCUUUCCUCUCGGCCCUGCUCCCAGAAGAAAGCAGUCAGGCUAAAGGGCUACAAGAUAUUUGCUGUCAGGCUGUUGCCUGAGGCUCUGACACCUUGGAGGGAACUUCCAAUGCUGCAUGGGUAAGAGUUACUUUUUGAGUGUGCACAAACGGUGCUGGAGCAACCCGGAGACGGGCUGAAGGGAACCAUCCCAUUGGUGUUGUUCACGUCCCCAUUCCUGCUGGAGCCCAUCCUCGGUCCCUCCAGGAGCUAUUUCCACUCUGGACUGUCCCCACCAAAAUGUCUGAAAGGGCCUCUUGCCCUUGGCUCACCACCUCAUCAAAACAGUUUGGAGAGGAGGGCUCCUUCACCCCAUCCAUGGUGUAGAGGCGAGGCGGGGACUCCAACGGGCUCCCGCUCUGGCUUCCUCACCUGUGCCCCUUCUGGGGGGUGUCUUGAGUUUUUAACAAGCAGCCAUUCAGAAACCUGUCGUUUGAGGUUAUUUACUAUUUCAUUCAACUGCUACUUAAGUGUCUCCCAAACGGCAGCCAGCGGGGUACAGCAAUGAAGGAGGCACUCUUUUUCCCAUGGUGUGGAGGAACCCACAAUACAGUGAGGUAAGGUAUAAUAGGGGUUAACCUGGGGCAUUAUGGGAGCUGAUAAGCGGGGCAAGGGGGCUUCUUAGAGGAACUGAUGUCUGAUCUGCAACCUGAGGAUGAGGGGGGAUUAGCUUGGUAAAGGGAGGUAAUAAGACACUUUCCAACAAAGGAGAAUGAGAUAUUUAUUAAAAAUAGGUGAAACUUUGGGCCAGGCCCAGUGGCCUAGUGGUUAAGUUUGGUGCACUCCACUUUGGCAGCCCUGGUUCAGUUCCCAAGCA